rnacentral:rRNA from 1 species
ACGGGAGGCAGCAGUGGGGAAUAUUGGACAAUGGGGGAAACCCUGAUCCAGCGACGCCGCGUGAGUGAAGAAGUAUUUCGGUAUGUAAAGCUCUAUCAGCAAGGAAGAAAAUGACGGUACUUGACUAAGAAGCUCCGGCUAAAUACGUGCCAGCAGCCGCGGUAAUACGUAUGGAGCAAGCGUUAUCCGGAUUUACUGGGUGUAAAGGGCGCGUAGGCGGGAUAGCAAGUCAGGUGUGAAAUCUAUGGGCUCAACCCAUAAACUGCACUUGAAACUGUUAUUCUUGAGUGUCGGAGAGGUAGAUGGAAUUCCUAGUGUAGCGGUGAAAUGCGUAGAUAUUAGGAGGAACACCAGUGGCGAAGGCGAUCUACUGGACGAUAACUGACGCUGAGGCGCGAAAGCGUGGGGAGCAAACAGGAUUAGAUACCCUGGUA